rnacentral:rRNA from 1 species
GACGAACGCUGGCGGCGUGCUUACCACAUGCAAGUCGAACGGUGAAGCGCCUUCCUUUUUGGUGGGUGUGGAUGAGUGGCGAACGGGUGAGUAACACGUGAGUAACCUGCCCCCUUCUUCUGGAUAACCGCAUGAAAGUGUGGCUAAUACGGGAUAUUCUGGGUCUGUCGCAUGAUGGGUCUGGGAAAGAUAUUGUUUCGGUGGGGGAUGGGCUCGCGGCCUAUCAGCUUGUUGGUGGGGUGAUGGCCUACCAAGGCGGUGACGGGUAGCCGGCCUGGGAGGGUGGACGGUCACACUGGGACUGAGACACGGCCCAGACUCCUACGGGAGGCAGCAGUGGGGAAUAUUGCACAAUGGGCGCAAGCCUGAUGCAGCGACGCCGCGUGAGGGAUGGAGGCCUUCGGGUUGUGAACCUCUUUCGCCAGUGAAGCAGGCCUGCCUCGUUUGUGGGUGGGUUGACGGUAGCUGGAGAAGAAGCGCCGGCUAACUACGUG